rnacentral:ncRNA from 1 species
GGAUUCCCGUCGAGAAAGAAUUAGCCAUUCACUCGUAGCGAGUCUUGGAGGGCAGGUGGUAACACUCUGCUUUUAAGCGUAGACAGCUAGGUAAUGGGCCGUAAGCCGUUAGGUUGAAGGGAUUGAGCUUCGAAAUUUCGCGUUAGUUGGGAAGGCCGAUGCACUCAGGAGUGUAGAAGGCAAUAUUGUUAUUCUCGUAAAUGGCGAGAGAAUAACAACUUCCUCGGAGUCGGUGACCA